UAAGGAAUAUUGGACAAUGGAGGCAACUCUGAUCCAGCCAUGCCGCGUGAAGGAUGAAGGCGCUACGCGUUGUAAACUUCUUUUCUCUUAGAAAAAACUACUGGUUUCGUACCGGUACUGAUUGUACAAGAGGAAUAAGCAUCGGCUAACUUCGUGCCAGCAGCCGCGGUAAUACGAAGGAUGCAAGCGUUAUCCGGAUUCACUGGGUUUAAAGGGUGUGCAGGUGGGGUAAUAAGUCAGUGGUGAAAGCCCCCGACUCAAUCGGGGAACUGCCAUAGAUACUGUUAUUCUUGAGUGUGGUUGAGGCGGAUGGAAUAUGACAUGUAGCGGUGAAAUGCUUAGAUAUGUCAUAGAACACCGAUCGCGAAGGCAGUCCGCCAAACCAUUACUGACACUGAAACACGAAAGUGCGGGGAUCAAACAGGAUUAGAUACCCCGGUAGUCC
rnacentral:rRNA from 1 species